CAGUAGCCGCGGUAAUACGAAGGGGGCUAGCGUUGCUCGGAAUGACUGGGCGUAAAGGGCGCGUAGGCGGUGGCCAAAGUCAGGCGUGAAAUUCCUGGGCUCAACCUGGGGGCUGCGCUUGAUACUUGGUUGCUUGAGUGGGGAAGAGGGUCGUGGAUUUCCCAGUGUAGAGGUGAAAUUCGUAGAUAUUGGGAAGAACACCGGUGGCGAAGGCGGCGACCUGGUCCUUGACUGACGCUGAGGCGCGAAAGCGUGGGGAGCAAACAGGAUUAGAUACCCGUGUAGUCCCUGUCUCUUAUAA
rnacentral:rRNA from 1 species